rnacentral:rRNA from 1 species
GUGCCAGCAGCCGCGGUAAUUCCAGCUCCAAUAGCGUAUAUUAAAGUUGUUGUGGUUAAAAAGCUCGUAGUUGAACCUUGGGCCUGGCUGGCCGGUCCGCCUCACCGCGUGCACUGGUCCGGCCGGGCCUUUCCCUCUGUGGAACCCCAUACCCUUCACUGGGCGUGGCGGGGAAACAGGACAUUUACUUUGAAAAAAUUAGAGUGCUCCAGGCAGGCCUAUGCUCGAAUACAUUAGCAUGGAAUAAUAAAAUAGGACGCGCGGUUCUAUUUUGUUGGUUUAUAGGAUCGCCGUAAUGAUUAAUAGGGACAGUCGGGGGCAUCAGUAUUCAACUGUCAGAGGUGAAAUUCUUGGAUCAGUUGAAGACUAACUACUGCGAAAGCAUUUGCCAGGGAUGUUUUCAUUAAUCAGGAACGAAAGUUAGGGGAUCGAAGACGAUCAGAUACCGUCGUAGUCUUAACCAUAAACUAUGCCGACUAGGGAUCGGACGGUGUUAUUCAUGACCCGUUCGGCACCUUACGAGAAAUCAAAGUGCUUGGGCUCCAGGGGGAGUAUGGUCGCAAGGCUGAAACUUAAAGAAAUUGACGGAAGGGCACCACCAGGGGUGGAGCCUGCGGCUUAAUUUGACUCAACACGGGGAAACUCACCAGGUCCAGACACAAUAAGGAUUGACAGAUUGAGAGCUCUUUCUUGAUUUUGUGGGUGGUGAUGCAUGGCCGUUCUUAGUUGGUGGGGUGACUUGUCUG